GUGUCUCUUAGAUUUGUGAUAUGAAAUAGUCAAUAAUUUACUUGUAGUUGCACUUUGUGGUUACACGGACACACUGAUACGACCUCAUAAUCUCAAUAACAAUGUACUUAUUAUUCUUAUCACUCAAAAGAACUAAUCUCUCAACUCCAAGCUCUCAACUUACUUUUUAAUACUUACUUAGUAUUGUUUCAAGUAUUUACUUUUGGUUGUAGUCAACAACAAAUCGUUAUGUAUGAAUCCAACAACUUUUUUCUAAACUCUUUUAAAACUUAAGUCAACCGUACAUUUUAAUUAAUAUUAACUAAUGCGUUCUAAAAUGAAUUAUUCAUCAUUUUUAAACCUGAUUUUCUUGCAGUACAUUUAGUUUAAUUACUAAUGGUUUUGUGACCUACCAAUUAGUAGUCAGUUCAUUUUCGUAGUUUUUUUUUAUAUCAACAUAAUCUAGUCGAAGUAGGUCGAUAUGGCUAUUCAGCAGAAGUAUAGACGAGAAGAAGUUAGUGAAGUUAGUUGUUGCCUUAAGUACAUCAUAUUCAGUUUUAAUGUGUUAUUUUGGAUGUUUGGUUUAUCUGUGAUGGCAGUGGGCGUUUGGGCAUGGACAGAAAAAAAUGCAUUUAAUAAUCUCAGUAAACUUACACAUUUAGCACUUGAUCCAGCUUUUGCUUUAAUUUUAAUUGGUGGAAUAACUUUUAUAAUAGGUUUCACGGGUUGCAUCGGAGCUUUACGUGAAAACACAUGUUUACUUGGGAGUUAUGCGGUUCUCUUAGCUGUUAUUUUGAUACUUGAGUUAACUGCUGGAGUUUUAACAUUUGUUUUUAAAGAUUCUAUUAAAUCACAAGCCACUGAAGGACUUCAAACAUUCAUCGUUCAUUAUAGGGAAGACCCUGAUCAGCAAAAUCUUAUUGACUGGAUACAGGAAGACUGGUUACAAUGUUGUGGAAUCAAAGGCCCUGAAGAUUGGGAUUUUAACAAUUAUUUUAACUGCUCUUCACAAAAGGUGGGCAGCCGAGAAGCAUGUGGAGUACCUUUUUCUUGUUGCAAACGUAAACUUAAUGAAAUAGUAGAAAACAAACAGUGUGGAUAUGACGUGAGGAAAGUAGGAUUUUAUGCUGAAAAAUGGACAAGCUUAAAUUUACCAACGCAAACAGGCGAAAGAAAUAUAUAUGAGAGAGGUUGCAUGCGGGCCGCUGAGGAAUGGGUUGAGGAUAAUUUUAUUGGAGUCUUAACAACAGUUAUGACUGUCACCAUAUUACAGUAUUUUGUAUGUUCAUUUUUAUUUAUUUUCCAAUGCUUGUGUGUAAUUGUACGUAGACCGACGAUGUCGGAAAACGAGUGGACCUCAUCAUUAAUGAAAAAGGAUGUUUGCAAUCUGGAGAAGAAUGGCUAGAAAGAAACAUGCUUUUUAUAGCUACUGUGUGUCUUAUAUCAGCUUUUUGUAAGAUUUUAGGCAUAUGCUUUGCUCAAAAUCUACGUGCUGACAUAUUUGCACAAAAAGGCAAGUGGCACUAGAUGGAAUUCUUAAGAAAUGAACAAACAAGAUUAUAAAUAUAUAUACUUUUUUUAAGAGGUUUUUAGCCUAAUCAAUAUUUUUUCAUAACUAAAAUAGUGAUAAAAAGAUUGUAGUCCAACUAUUUAGUGAUUAUCUAAACAUGCUUCUAUGAAUUUUUUUUAUCCAAAUUUUUGGUUUUCGAUAAAGUUUGAUUAGUAGUUUUCAUAACAAUUUAUCCUUAAUACCCUAUUAUACAUCACACACUCACACAUAACAAGAUUAGAUUAUAGACAUAUUAUAUAAUUAUUUUUUUAAGAAAAAACUAAUUAUACAUUAAUGUAUAAAUAUGUAUUUGAACUUGAAUUCUCUCGUAAAAUACAUUUUGUGUUUACGACUGAAGUCAAAUUUGCCUAUAAUUUGUACGCACAGUUAUGGUUUUGAAUUUGAAUUUUUUUAAUUCUUGUUUAUUCUUCCGCAUAAAGAUAUUCUUUGGUUAUCUAUGUUCUUACUUUUUAACAUGUUCAAAGAUGGAUUAUGUGCUAAACCAAAAUUACAACUCUAGUUAUAUCUGUAUUAUGUUUCAUUAUUUACCAAAUUAGAUCUCUCUUAGAAUGUUUUUUUUUUUUUUUCAUUAUAAUACAAUUUAAUUUUUAAUUUUGCUCAAAAUAUCUCAAAGUAUUAUUUUAUAAAUGGGUAUGUAAAUUGUAUUAGAUUUGUGCCAAACAAAUUAUAGUAUUAAUAUGCAGUUUAUUUUCAAUGUAUUUUUCUAAGUUAAGUUCCUACUAGUACUAUUUACAUAACCUAAAAUUUAAUUAUGCUUAAUUUCACAAUAUUAUACUAAUAAAUAAUAAUUUAACAA